GGAACUGCAGCAAGGAACAGUCAGAAGCUGGAACAAAACACACAAUGACGAGCCAGAGGUCGGGAUUCCUCAGAAGCGUGCUGUGUAAAUGGCAUGCACAGGCCACUGUCAUUGGUGAUCCUCAGUGUAUCACACAUACUACCUAAAGAGGAUUGGGAGAGGCAGUCUCUUGACAUCAUUAUUCAGCAGGAACACCUAUUUUACCUUCGCCAUGACACCAGCAUAAACCUUAUCAGCUGAUUUGUUCAGCUCAGCUGUGGCUGCAGGAGUACAAG